rnacentral:siRNA from 1 species
UGGUGAGUAAUUGUUUAGUA